rnacentral:tmRNA from 1 species
GGGGGCGUACCGGUUUCGACGGGGACACGGAAGUGGGGAUAGCGGGCGGUGGCGCCUGGCCACCUUAAAACGGGCAUUCUUUAUAAAUUAAAGAACAACACUUACGCUUACGCUGCCUAAUUAAGGCGGCCGUCCGCCCCGGAAGGACCACGAGCCGGGAACGGGCGUCGAUUAGUGGUGCCCGUGCGUGCGCAAAGCUUUGAGCGCACCACGCAUAAUGAAGCUACCAAGUCCCUGAGUGUGACGGCUCACGCCCGGACGAGGGAAUGUAAAUAACCGUCUGCGCCCGGAGAAGUUCCCAUGGAAGGGUUUUCGGACGGGGGUUCGACUCCCCCCGCCUCCACCA